AUCCUCUCAUUUUACUCAUACACAUGCUUCUGACCUUGUUAACACAUGCUCAGGCUCAUUUUACUCAUGCACAUGCUCAUGAUCUUCUUAGUUAUGACUGUAAGUACUCCAACUUGAGUACAUCAUUUUCUUCAGCUUGAGUACAAUUCAAAUCAAAAUCCAUUUUGGAGUACUCCAAGUUACUGAUCUGUUGUACUGAUCUCCAAGUUACUCCAUUCAAAUAAAUGUGUUGAUCAGAUCCGCUGUAGUACUUGUUGUUGAUCUUGCUGUAGUAGUUGUUGUUGAUCUCAUCUGCUGUAGUUGUUGUUGAACUUUUGGACAUUCUUGCCAAUCUAAUAUUUGAACCACCUACAGGUCAACUUGAUCAAUCUUGACACCAACAUCAGGAAUCAUUCGGGCGGUAGUGUCACCAGCCCUUUGUCACUCUGAGAAUAUACAUUGUCUUCACUCCUUUACAGUAGCUCAAGGCGUCCUAAAUAGAAUGUAAAGAUUGUAAUAUUGUAAUGGUAGGCAUAUGUGGGUUGGAUUAGACAUGUACAGAUUGUAGUAGGAGUAUUUACCAUUCUUGUUCUAUUUGCAAUUUUAAUUAUGUCAUUUGGAAACGUGUGAAAUGGAACCUGGCUCAUGGUACCCAAUUAAGGGCCUAAUAUGUGUAAGACUAUGACAAGUGGGACCUAUCUAAUUGGUGGGACCAGAUAUCAUGACCCAAAAAAUGUUAUAAGCCCACAACCUAGAAAACAAAAAAAGGCUGAAAAGUUGGACGAGGCCCAUGUAGCUAACCAAAAUCAAUAGAAAAAAUAUAUAUUAAAAGGGCUGAAUUAUUGGGCUCGGCCCAUGUAAAGCAUCGAAUUGGACCGGGCUGAUUCAUGUCAAUGACCAAUCCAAUUGGUCGUAGGUGUGCCACGUCAGCUUGCCACAUUGGAUCCGACGUGGUGUGGGCACACUUCUAAUGACCAAAAUGAUUGGUCGUUAAACCUAUGACCUUUUUUGUCGUAAAAUUCUACGACGAUUCCAGCAGAAAGGUCGUUAUCGUUCACUAGAGACCCUCAGCUUUUGAUUGCCCGUUUUUGGUCGUAAAAAGGUCGCAAAUGGAAAUCAACGACCAUUCGUAGACCAAUAUUGAAGGUCGUAAGUUAGCAUAUUUCUUGUAGUGGAGGGCAGCAAAUUGAACAUCAACGCCCACAAACUCUUUUGUGAUCUACUCGAGAUAUCAUCUACGCAUGAACCUAGCUCAUGAUGCCACUGUUGGGGAACAUCGCAUGGGAAACAAAAAAAAUCCUACGCGCACGCAAUACCUAUCCAUGGUGAUGAUCAUCUACAAGAGAGGAGAGUGAAUCUACAUACCCUUGUAGAUUGCUAAGCGAAAGCGUAUAUAAUGCGGUUGAUGUAGUGGAACAUCUUCGCGAUCCAAAUCACAGCCCAUCCCGCGAUCUCAUCACGACCCGUCCCGCGAUCCCAUCACUAUCCAUCCCGAUCUAGUGCCGGACGGACGACACCUCCGUGUUCAGCACACAUACAGCUCGAUGACGAUCACCGCCUUGUUGAUCCAGCAAGAUGGGCGGAGAGGUAGAUGAGUUCUCCAGCACGACGGUGUGGUGGUGUAGGUGGUGAACUAAUCCAGCAGGGCUUCGCCUAAUAACUGCCGAAGUAGACUACAGGAGAAACAUAUCUAGAGGGAGAGAGAGGGAGCACGUG
rnacentral:lncRNA from 1 species